GCUUGGCUGAAUGAGAGAAAACGAGAAGAAUCCAUAGGACCAAAAACAGGCAAUUAUUUGUCCACAUUCCUGCAUUGAUAAUUUCUCCUCCGUCUUUAGGAAGAGCAGUUUUGGCCUUUUAUCGCUAAACCAAUGAGAAACAACAAAAUAGCCUCCAGUAUGGUGUUCACUUUGGGCCCUAACAUCUCCAGAGGAUAAGAUGCCACAAACUUGUACAACAGGUUCACAUAUGAUGCUUCAGCAGUGGGAAGAAUCUGAUAUUUGCACAAGCUCAUGGUUGUCAGGAUGUUCCAGUGCCAAGAAAACAUGAGCAUAAAGAAUGUGGUUUGAAGUCUGAAGACCUGAGCAGCUAGAUUGCCUUUAACUCCCUGGGAGAUCACAGCAAAGCCCCAUCACCUUAGAGACCUCAAUCUCACCUACCUACACAAUGAGGCUUUUGGAAUCGAUGCUCUUUAGGACUUUUUCUAGAUCUAGUAUUCUCAAUUUUUAAAAAAGAACUCCUAUUUCAUGAGGACACUUUAAAAAAGGACUCUAAUUGACUCCUAAUAAGAAGAUACUUGUUUUUGGAGGAGCAGUGGGUGUGCUCCAAACUUCCUGGUUAUAAUAAUCUAGGAAUAAAGACAUAGAAGACAAUCACCUGAUAAUCACAGCAUAGUAACAAAAUUACUGUUCAAUGGUUCCCAUAAGAGAAACAAUGAUAAUUUCAGUUUAUAAGUUGUGAUUCAUCUAAGGAGAUUCUGAAGAAAUACUUUUGUGAGCAAACCACUGACAGGUUAAUUAUGGGGCAGUUAUUGAGCCAUCACUAUAAAGCAUCCCCAUUCAAUAUAAUCAUGUCCCGUGACCCCACCAAAACAAUGACCCCAGCUACAGAGAAAAAGAGGGAAAAAUAGCCAAGACAUGAUAAAAGACAAUGGAAAAGAUCUGUGUUUCUGAAGUAAUAAAAUGCUCGAUAUUACAAGAUGACCCAACAUUUUUGACUGAAAUUUAACCACCAAAAGAAGUGCUUUUCAAAUCUUAGUGAGUAUUCAACAAAU